rnacentral:rRNA from 1 species
UUUAUGGAGAGUUUGAUCCUGGCUCAGGAUGAACGCUGGCGGCGUGCCUAAUACAUGCAAGUCGAGCGAACGGACGAGAAGCUUGCUUCUCUGAUGUUAGCGGCGGACGGGUGAGUAACACGUGGAUAACCUACCUAUAAGACUGGGAUAACUUCGGGAAACCGGAGCUAAUACCGGAUAAUAUUUUGAACCGCAUGGUUCAAAAGUGAAAGACGGUCUUGCUGUCACUUAUAGAUGGAUCCGCGCUGCAUUAGCUAGUUGGUAAGGUAACGGCUUACCAAGGCAACGAUGCAUAGCCGACCUGAGAGGGUGAUCGGCCACACUGGAACUGAGACACGGUCCAGACUCCUACGGGAGGCAGCAGUAGGGAAUCUUCCGCAAUGGGCGAAAGCCUGACGGAGCAACGCCGCGUGAGUGAUGAAGGUCUUCGGAUCGUAAAACUCUGUUAUUAGGGAAGAACAUAUGUGUAAGUAACUGUGCACAUCUUGACGGUACCUAAUCAGAAAGCCACGGCUAACUACGUGCCAGCAGCCGCGGUAAUACGUAGGUGGCAAGCGUUAUCCGGAAUUAUUGGGCGUAAAGCGCGCGUAGGCGGUUUUUUAAGUCUGAUGUGAAAGCCCACGGCUCAACCGUGGAGGGUCAUUGGAAACUGGAAAACUUGAGUGCAGAAGAGGAAAGUGGAAUUCCAUGUGUAGCGGUGAAAUGCGCAGAGAUAUGGAGGAACACCAGUGGCGAAGGCGACUUUCUGGUCUGUAACUGACGCUGAUGUGCGAAAGCGUGGGGAUCAAACAGGAUUAGAUACCCUGGUAGUCCACGCCGUAAACGAUGAGUGCUAAGUGUUAGGGGGUUUCCGCCCCUUAGUGCUGCAGCUAACGCAUUAAGCACUCCGCCUGGGGAGUACGACCGCAAGGUUGAAACUCAAAGGAAUUGACGGGGACCCGCACAAGCGGUGGAGCAUGUGGUUUAAUUCGAAGCAACGCGAAGAACCUUACCAAAUCUUGACAUCCUUUGACAACUCUAGAGAUAGAGCCUUCCCCUUCGGGGGACAAAGUGACAGGUGGUGCAUGGUUGUCGUCAGCUCGUGUCGUGAGAUGUUGGGUUAAGUCCCGCAACGAGCGCAACCCUUAAGCUUAGUUGCCAUCAUUAAGUUGGGCACUCUAAGUUGACUGCCGGUGACAAACCGGAGGAAGGUGGGGAUGACGUCAAAUCAUCAUGCCCCUUAUGAUUUGGGCUACACACGUGCUACAAUGGACAAUACAAAGGGCAGCGAAACCGCGA